rnacentral:rRNA from 1 species
AACGAACGCUGGCGGCAUGCCUAACACAUGCAAGUCGAACGAGACCUUCGGGUCUAGUGGCGCACGGGUGCGUAACGCGUGGUAACCUGCCCUUAGGUUCGGAAUAACUCCCCGAAAGGGGUGCUAAUACCGGAUAAGGUCAUCGGAGCAAAGAUUUAUGGCCUUGGGAUGGGCCCGCGUUGGAUUAGGUAGUUGGUAGGGUAAAAGCCUACCAAGGCGACGAUGCAUAGCUGGUCUGAGAGGAUGAUCAGCCACACUGGGACUGAGACACGGCCCAGACUCCUACGGGAGGCAGCAGUGGGGAAUAUUGGACGAUGGGCGAAAGCCUGAUACAGCAAUGCCGCGUAAGUGAGGAAGGCCUUAGGGUUGUAAAGCUCUUUUACCCGGGAUGAUAAUGACAGUACCGGGAGAAUAAGCACCGGCUAACUCCGUG